rnacentral:piRNA from 1 species
UCAAAGUUGGAGGCUGAGCCGUGAG